CUUUGGCCAUUCUCGCUCCCUACACAAAAAUGAGUAAAAGUCAUGGAAUCGCUGAAUCACUGAGGUUGGAAAAGAUCUCUGAGAUCUUCCAGUCCAACCGUCCACCUACCACCACUAUUUCCCACUAAACCAUGUCCCUCAGUACCACAUCUACGCAGUUCUUGAACCCCUCCAGGGAUGGUGGCUCCUCAGCCUCCCUGGGCAGAGCCCAUUCCAGCUCCUGACCCCCCUUUCAGAGAUGAAUUGUUUCCUGAUACCCAACCUGAACUCCCCUGGCACAACUUGAGGCCAUUCCCUCUCAUCCUGUUGUCACCUUGCUGCUACCAUUAGGCCUUUUUUGUUUGUUUGUUUAUCCCCAAAUAAAAUUGGGCUCAGAGAGUUUUGCUGCUGAUUUCAGUGGGAAUCUAAUCCACAGCUCUUGCAAAUAGGACUUUCUGGAUUUGCCUACACCUUGCGUCCCAGGAGUACGUAGAACAAGGAGUGAGCACACGAGAAGAGUCUCUUCUCAACAUGUAGAACUGAUCUUCCACUAGAAUGAACUGCCAGAGCUGUUCUGUAAAACGGGGAUAGCUGAUACGUGCUUUAGAAUUUCCACGGAAGAAUUCUGGAAAGCACACGCAUCAGAAGUGUUUCAGAAGCCGUUUCCCAGAGCAGCAUGCUUGUCUCGUCAUUUGAAUCACAGAGUCAUUAAGAUUGGGAAAUACCACAGAGAUCGUCACCAUCCCUGCCUUCGGCCCCUGCAGCUCAAACAGAACUGGCUGUACAUCGGCGUGGCUGCGCAGCCACCACAGGGACAACCUUUCUUGAGAAGAGAACGAGGUUUCAGAAGAUCUGUAAGUAAGGUAAGAUUAAUUAAAACUGGUCUUCUAACACCACGGUCUUUUCUUAGACUUCAUGAAAUUAAUGGGGAUGGUUUCUACUUUUAGUAUGAUUAAAAUUAGCUGAAAUACAGUACAUACUUUUAAAAAAGUGGUCAUUACUAUGUUUUUGAACAACUGCAUCUGAUUGCAAUUAUCUGAUCAAUAACAGAUUACUAAUGAGGCCAACGUGACAUCAGAGGGGACAGAGGGAUAUGAAUAUGAGGGAUAUGGACAUGAGGGACAUCAUCUGAAAUGACGGCAUUGUAAAGGCUUGUGGAGAGUUGAAGAAGGGUAGAAGAGCCUUUUGAUCUGCUGCUAGGGGGCUUUAGAAGGCUGAUUUAAAAGGCAGAGCGAAGAUGCCCUAAGUGGUAAGCAUCAAGCAGAACAUUCAGUAUCUUGAACUAUUNAAUAAAAUAAAAUAAAAUAAAAUAAACAACUCAGCUGUUAGUUGGACUGACUUUAAUUCCAUUAUGAAAAUGGGAAAGAAGGUGGACAGCUGAAAUUCCAUGUAACGGCAGUAGCAGAAUAUCUGGCUCUGCAGGCUUAGUAUUUCUCAAUUUGAAACUCUGAUUACAAACCAGAAGAGAAAAAUAUCCAUAAUUUCUGAAAAUCUAAAUUCUCAGCCUUAGUAACAACUCAAGG
rnacentral:lncRNA from 1 species